CCUACGGGAGGCAGCAGUGGGGAAUAUUGGGCAAUGGAGGCAACUCUGACCCAGCAACGCCGCGUGAAUGAUGAAGGUCUUCGGAUUGUAAAGCUCUGUGAUGGGGGAUGAAAACAAUGACGGUACUCCAAUAGCAAGCCACGGCUAACUACGUGCCAGCAGCCGAGGGAAUACGUAGGUGGCAAGCGGUAUCCGGAAUGACUGGGCGUAAAGGGUGCGUAGGUGGUUUAGUAAGUUGGCGGGGUAAUUCCGGGGCUCAAACUCGGCGCUACCGCCGAAACUAUUAGACUAGAGUGCAGGAGAGGUAAGUGGAAUGCCUGGUGUAGCGGUGGAAUGCGUAGAUAUUAGGAGGAACAUCAGGGGCGAAGGCGACUUACUGGACUGUAACUGACGCUGAGGCACGAAAGCGUGGGGAGCAAACAGGAUUAGAUACCCGUGUAGUC
rnacentral:rRNA from 1 species